rnacentral:rRNA from 1 species
AACGAACGCUGGCGGCAGGCUUAACACAUGCAAGUCGAGCGCCCCGCCAGGGGAGCGGCAGACGGGUGAGUAACGCGUGGGAACGUACCCUUAUCUUCGGGAUAGCUCCGGGAAACUGGAAUUAAUACCGAAUGUGCCCUUUGGGGGAAAGAUUUAUCGGGUAAGGAUCGGCCCGCGUUGGAUUAGCUAGUUGGUGGGGUAAAGGCCUACCAAGGCGACGAUCCAUAGCUGGUCUGAGAGGAUGAUCAGCCACAUUGGGACUGAGACACGGCCCAGACUCCUACGCGAUGGAGCAAUGCCGAAUAUUGGACCGUGGGCGCAGGGCUGAUGCACUCAGGCUGGGAGAGUGAUGAUGGUAGGAGAGUAGUAAAGCGCAUUCAACUAAGAAGAUCUUGACGGUACCCGAAGAGGAAGCCACGGCUAACUACGUG